rnacentral:lncRNA from 10 species
AGCUUCUCAGCCUCUCUUCUCUGUUCACUUCCUGCUCAUGGGACUCCUGCCUCUCCUGGGCUUGGCCGCUCCUGUCUUGGCAAGCCCCAGACCCUGCCUUGGAUUUCUUUCUGGCCUCCAAGUGGGCGCUUGGCUCCUGGCACCUGGCAGCCUUGGCUGUCUCCCCAGCCCCACUGUCCUGCCUCUCUGCUUGGGACCCAUGGGAGCUGCCAUCUCCCCAGCCCCAGGUCUGUUCUACAGCUGAGCUCCCCACUUCAUGUCUUCUGUCAUCUCCAGGCCCUCUCAGCCUUCCAGCCCCCUCGUUUUGGCUGCCUCUAAGGCCCUCCAGGUCCUCCUGGGCUUCCUCCUCUACAAUCUUCCCUGUCUUUCCCACCGCCACCACCCCCAGUUCCUCAGCCGCCUGCGCCUCCCGCUCUACAGUGGGGACUGCAUCUCCCAGGAGUAGAGACAGGGUUUCACCAUGUUAGCCAGGCUGGUUUCGAACUCCUGACCUCAGGUGAUCUGCCCACCUUGGCCUCCCAAAGUGCUGGGAUGACAGGCAUGAGCCACCACACCCAGACGAGAGGGCACAUUUCCAACUGCAUUCUGAAGGCCUGGUGGUGAGAAAGAGCAUAUAGAGGUGGCACAGCCCAUAGCAGAGAUGAGGCCAAGGACAAGAAGAGAAUGCAGGAUGCCGCUUUCCACCUAGAAGAAGGCUACUGUCUCGGUCUUGGGCGCCACUGAUCUAAGGUCACGGCUCUGCUUGCUGCUCCCACCCGCUCCAGUUUAAAACCUGCGGUUCCAGGGUUCUCCAGCCCCUCCCUUUUUCACGCUCCGAAGCCGAGAAGGCCCAAAGCGAAGACAGAGAGGACCCGGAAGUAGGGAAAACCUCUGAGCACGUGAUGGGGGAACACGCGGGUGCUGUCACGUGAUCCGACAAACGGCCUCUGCAUAGUGCAGAACAUUCUGCUGCUCUUAAAGACCCUCAUCCCUCCC